UCGACUAUACUUUCAGGGGUCAUUUCUAUAGUGUGUGGUUGCGCUUACCGCAAAUUAAGCGUUAUGAGUACUUCUUCCUGAACAUGAAGAAGGUAGACCCUUGGUUCAUCCAUGUUCUCUGUUACUGAUGACUGUUCACUGUUUCUUUUAGAGAUGGAGGGGAUGAGUAUGAUCAGAGUGGU
rnacentral:snoRNA from 1 species